rnacentral:rRNA from 1 species
AUUGAACGCUGGCGGCAGGCCCAACACAUGCAAGUCGAGCGGAUGAAGGGAGCUUGCUCCUGGAUUCAGCGGCGGACGGGUGAGUAAUGCCUAGGAAUCUGCCUGGUAGGGGGGGAUAACGUCCGGAAACGGGCGCUAAUACCGCAUACGUCCUGAGGGAGAAAGUGGGGGAUCUUCGGACCUCACGCUAUCAGAUGAGCCUAGGUCGGAUUAGCUAGCUGGUGGGGUAAAGGCCUACCAAGGCGACGAUCCGUAACUGGUCUGAGAGGAUGAUCAGUCACACUGGAACUGAGACACGGUCCAGACUCCUACGGGAGGCAGCAGUGGGGAAUAUUGGACAAUGGGCGAAAGCCUGAUCCAGCCAUGCCGCGUGUGUGAAGAAGGUCUUCUGAUUGUAAAGCCCUUUAAGUUGGGAGGAAGGGCAGUAAGUUGAUACCUUGCUGUUUUGACGUUACCAACAGAAUAAGCACCGGCUAACUUCGUG